AUGAACGCUAGCGGCAGGCCUAAUACAUGCAAGUCGAGGGGCAGCACAGGUAGCAAUACUGGGUGGCGACCGGCAAACGGAUGCGGAACACGUACGCAACCUUCCUUUGAGCGGGGAAUAGCCCAUAGAAAUGUGGAUUAAUACCCCGUAAUAUCGUUGCCAGGCAUCUGGUGGCGAUUAAAGCUCCGGCACUCGAAGAUGGGCGUGCGUCUGAUUAGGUAGUUGGCGGGGUAACGGCCCACCAAGGCGACGACGGGUACCUGGUCUGAGAGGAUGAUCAGGCACACUGGAACUGAGACACGGUCCAGACACCUACGGGUGGCAGCAGUCGAGAAUAACUCACAAUGGGGGAAACCCUGAUGGUGCAACGCCGCGUGGAGGAUGAAGGUCUUCGGAUUGUAAACUCCUGUCAUUGGAGAGUAAGACCUGGCGGUCAAUAGCCGACAGGGUUGAUAGUAUCCAAAGAGGAAGGGACGGCUAACUUCGUGCCAGCAGCCGCGGUAAUACGAAGGUCCCAAGCGUUGCUCGGAAUCACUGGGCGUAAAGGGAGCGUAGGCGGCGUGGUAAGUCAGAUGUGAAAUCCCGGGGCUCAACCCCGGAACUGCAUCCGAUACUGCCGUGCUUGAGGGUUGGAGAGGUAGCUGGAAUUAUCGGUGUAGCAGUGAAAUGCGUGGAUAUCGAUAGGAACACUCGUGGCGAAGGCGAGCUACUGGACAACAUCUGACGCUGAGGCUCGAAGGCUAGGGGAGCAAAAGGGAUUAGAUACCCCUGUAGUCCUAGCAGUAAACGGUGUGCGCUUGGUGUGAGGGGAUUCGACCCCCCUUGUGCCGGAGCUAACGCGUUAAGCGCACCGCCUGGGAAGUACGGCCGCAAGGCUAAAACUCAAAGAAAUUGACGGGGACCCGCACAAGCGGUGGAGUAUGUGGCUUAAUUCGAUGCAACGCGAAAAACCUUACCCACCUUUGACAUGUACGGAAUUUGCCAGAGAUGGCUUAGUGCUCGAAAGAGAACCGUAACACAGGUGCUGCAUGGCUGUCGUCAGCUCGUGUCGUGAGAUGUUGGGUUAAGUCCCGCAACGAGCGCAACCCUUGUCAUUAGUUGCUACAUUUGGUUGGGCACUCUAAUGAGACUGCCGGUGACAAACCGGAGGAAGGUGGGGAUGACGUCAAGUCCUCAUGGCCCUUAUAGGUGGGGCUACACACGUCAUACAAUGGCUGGUACAAAGGGUUGCCAACCCGCGAGGGGGAGCUAAUCCCAUAAAGCCAGUCGUAGUCCGGAUCGCAGUCUGCAACUCGACUGCGUGAAGUCGGAAUCGCUAGUAAUCGUGGAUCAGAAUGUCACGGUGAAUACGUCCCCGGGUCUUGUACACACCGCCCGUCACACCAUGGGAGCGGGUUCUGCCAGAAGUAGUUAGCCUAACCGCAAGGAGGGCGAUUACCACGGCAGGGUUCGUGACUGGGGUGAAGUCGUAACAAGGUAAC
rnacentral:rRNA from 1 species